rnacentral:rRNA from 1 species
CCUACGGGAGGCAGCAGUGGGGAAUCUUGCGCAAUGGGCGAAAGCCUGACGCAGCAACGCCGCGUGCGGGAAGAAGGCUUUCGGGCUGUAAACCGCUUUCAGCAGGAACGAAAAUGACGGUACCUGCAGAAGAAGGAGCGGCCAACUAUGUGCCAGCAGCCGCGGUGAUACAUAGGCUUCAAGCGUUGUCCGGAUUUAUUGGGCGUAAAGAGUUCGUAGGCGGUCGAGUAAGUCGGGUGUGAAAAUUCUGGGCUCAACCCAGAGACGCCACCCGAUACUGCUUAACUUGAGUUCGAUAGGGGAGUGGGGAAUUCCUAGUGUAGCGGUGAAAUGCGCAGAUAUUAGGAGGAACACCGGUGGCGAAGGCGCCACUCUGGAUCGAUACUGACGCUGAGGAACGAAAGCAUGGGUAGCAAACAGGAUUAGAUACCCUGGUAGUCCAUGCCGUAAACGGUGGGCACUAGGUGUGGGAUUCUAUUAACGAAUUCCGCGCCGUCGCUAACGCAUUAAGUGCCCCGCCUGGGGAGUACGGUCGCAAGCUAAAACUCAAAGGAAUUGACGGCUUGAGAGUUGCGAGCGACGACGAGGGAGGAGG